UGGGGAAUUUUGGACAAUGGGGGCAACCCUGAUCCAGCCAUGCCGCGUGUCUGAAGAAGGCCUUCGGGUUGUAAAGGACUUUUGUUCGGGAGCAAAUCCUGGCGGUGAAUAACCGCUGGGGAUGAGAGUACCGAAAGAAUAAGCACCGGCUAACUACGUGCCAGCAGCCGCGGUAAUACGUAGGGUGCAAGCGUUAAUCGGAAUUACUGGGCGUAAAGCGUGCGCAGGCGGUUUUGCAAGUCUGAUGUGAAAGCCCCGGGCUUAACCUGGGAACGGCAUUGGAGACUGCAAAGCUAGAGUAUGUCAGAGGGGGGUAGAAUUCCACGUGUAGCAGUGAAAUGCGUAGAGAUGUGGAGGAAUACCGAUGGCGAAGGCAGCCCCCUGGGAUGAUACUGACGCUCAUGCACGAAAGCGUGGGGAGCAAACAGG
rnacentral:rRNA from 1 species